rnacentral:rRNA from 1 species
AACGAACGCUGGCGGCGUGGAUAAGACAUGCAAGUCGGACGGGAUUUUCCGUUGUAGCAAUACGAUGGAAAGUCUAGUGGCGAACGGGUGCUUAACACGUGGGCAACCUGCCAGGAAGUGGGGGAUAGCUCGCCGAAAGGCGAAUUAAUACCGCAUGUGAUUAGAGAGGACAUCCUUUCGAAAUUAAAGUCGGGGCAACCUGACGCUUCUUGUGGGGCCCGCGGCCUAUCAGCUAGUUGGUGAGGUAAUGGCUCACCAAGGCUUUGACGGGUAGCUGGACUGAGAGGACGACCAGCCACACUGGGACUGAGACACGGCCCAGACACCUACGGGUGGCAGCAGUCGAGAAUUUUUGACAAUGGGGGAAACCCUGAUCGAGCGACGCCGCGUGGAGGAUGAAGGUCUUCGGAUUGUAAACUCCUGUCAUUGGGGAACAAGGUGCAUACGUUAACUGCGUGUGCAUUGAUAGUACCCGAAGAGGAAGAGACGGCUAACUCUGUGCCAGCAGCCGCGGUAACAC